GAAAUUUCUCAAGUGGACAAAACAAAGGCUGAGAGGUGUGCUGUGCUCCUGUCUUCCUGCAGGGCCCCAAGCCAGGAGUUACUGGGUUUCAUGACUGGGGAGAAAGAAGCUACUGGUCUUCACACGACUAUUUCAAGAUUUCCUCAGAGAGAAUCCCCUUAUGGAUGGAAGAAAAGAAGCUCCUGCUAGAAAUUGCAGUGUGAUGAGGAACACCAAAGUGAACAACUAUCCAUGCAAGAAAGUCCUUUCGUAAGAACUCAAAAUCAGACUCACCCGAAGCUAGAAGAAAACAUGCUGCCCUGAAGAAAAGAAUCUAGUCUUGGAAAAAUUCACCACCUGCUGAAGAAAGAGCCUCUGGGCCUCAAAUAAACAUCAGCAGGAGCCAGGCAGUAGUUGCCAAGGGCCCAGUACAGUCCUACAGAUGGUGGCCAUUGUAGUGCUUAUAUCACCCAUUCUCCAACUCUAGGCAGCCCAGCACAGAGAAAGACCCACCUUAUGUUUUAGGGAAUGUGAGGGAAGAGAAUGAAAGACUCUGCCUGAUGAUCCAGGGAAUUCUUCCAGAUCUCACACAAGUCCACCAAAGUAGUAUGUCUAUGAGUCUUCAAGAGACUCGUAUCUAUCCUUCCAUCCACCAUUUCUAGUAUAGUUAAAAGGCUUGGGAUACCUUCUAGUACAGAUAAGACUGCAGUUAUCAAAGACUUAGAUCACAACAUUCAAUUCCCUUUGAACCUGAAAAGCCUUCUCAAGAAGGAUGGGUACAAACAAGCCCAGACUGCAAAGGUUAGAAUAAACAACUAACUGAUUGAUAUGGUUUGGCUCUGUGUUUCCGCCCAAAUCUCAUGUUGAAUUGUAAUUCCCACUGUUUGGGGAGGGACUUGGUGGGAGAUGAUUGGUUCAUGGGAGCAGAUUUCCCUCUUGCUGGUCUCAUGAAAGUGAGUGAGUUCUCAUGAGAUCUGAUGGUUUAAAAGUGUGUGGCACUUCCCCCUUUGCUCUCUCUCUCUUUCCUGCCACCAUAUGAAGAUGCGCUUGCUUUUCCUUCCCCCUUUCACCAUGAUUGUAAGUUUACUGAGGCUUUCCCAGACAUGCUCCCUGUACAACCUGCAGAAUUGUGAGUCAAUUUAACCCCUCUUCUUAAUAAAUUACCAAGUCUCAGGUAUUUCUUUAUAGCAGUGUGAGAACAGACUAAUACACUCAUCAAUGCCUAGACAUAAACAAAUAUUCAGAAGCAUCAAUAGCAUCCAGGAAAAUGUUAUCUCAGCAAAUGAAUGAAAAAAAGACC